rnacentral:rRNA from 1 species
UACGUAGGGACCGAGCGUUGUCCGGAUUCAUUGGGCGUAAAGAGCUCGUAGGCGGCCACUCAAGUCGAAUGUGAAACCUCGAGGCUUAACCUCGAGCCUGCAUUCGAUCACUGGGCGGCUAGAGUCUGGUAGGGGGAUCUGGAAUUCCUGGUGUAGCGGUGGAAUGCGCAGAUAUCAGGAGGAACACCGGUGGCGAAGGCGGGAUCCUGGGCCAGUACUGACGCUGAGACGCGAAAGCGUGGGGAGCGAACAGG